AAUCAACGCUGGCGGCGUGCCUAACACAUGCAAGUCGAACGCGAAAGCCCCGCAAGGGGUAAGUAGAGUGGCAAACGGGUGAGUAACACGUGGGUGACCUGCCUUCGAGUGGGGGAUAACGUCCCGAAAGGGACGCUAAUACCGCAUGACAUCCUGCUUUUGAAAAAGCGGAGAUCAAAGCUGGGGAUCGCAAGACCUAGCGCUUGAAGAGGGGCCCGCGCCUGAUUAGCUAGUUGGUGAGGUAACGGCUCACCAAGGCGACGAUCAGUAUCCGGCCUGAGAGGGCGGAAGGACCAACUGGGAAUGAGACACGGCCCAGACUCCUACGGGAGGCAGCAGUGGGGAAUUGUUCGCAAUGGGCGCAAGCCUGACGACGCAACGCCGCGUGGAGGACGAAGAUCUUCGGGUCGUAAACUCCUGUCGAGCGGGACGAACGCUUCGCGGAUGAAUAAUCCGCGGAAUUGACGGUACCGAUAAAGGAAGCCCCGGCUAACUCCGUG
rnacentral:rRNA from 1 species